rnacentral:rRNA from 1 species
GACGAACCGUGCGAACGUUAUUCGGAAUCACUGGGCUUAAAGCGCGUGUAGGCGGGCUGGUACGUCGGCCACUGAAAGCCCCCGGCUCAACCGGGGAAGGGGUGCCGAAACGGCCGGCCUGGAGGGGCGUAGGGGGACCUAGAACUUCCGGUGGAGCGGUGAAAUGCGUAGAUAUCAGGAGGAACACCGGCGGUGUAGACGGCUCUCUGGACCGUAACUGACGCUGAGAUACGAAAGCGUGGGUAGCAAACAGG